UCUGAUGAAACCGUUAAAAGAAUACAACGGAGAAACGCGUUAAGGGCACUCUGCAUUAGUGCUUUGGAACACUCAUUCAUUCUGGACUUUUGGCUAGACCUAUCUGCUGCAGUUUGUUCAUCACACAUCUGCCCCGGUGAGGCAAAAUCAAGCCGCUCCAGCGAGGAAAAGCUAAGCGGCGCGCUGCUGCAGCCGGGUGCCAUUCUCUGUGUGAAAAAGUACCACUGAUCCUGGCCGUGGUGUGAAAGCCUCAUUAACAUCAGCUCCGGUGAGGAGAAGCUAAGCGGCUCCAGCGAGGAGAAGUUCAGCGGCACGCUGCCGUAGCUGGGCGCCGCGCUCCACCGGUGAGAGUAUCACUAUUCUGGCCACGGUGAGGGCUUUUGUGCACGGAGACAGAGAAUGAGGACCUCCCAUCCUAGUGUUCAGAUUCCACAAGCAGAAAUCACCAGGAAUCAUGCUUAGAACAAGCUCCAGAAGUCUCCACCUUACAUCUGUCCUCACGCCGUGGAAGCUGCCUUCUUCCAGUUUCCUGCAUAGUAAUGUAUGCGUGCAGGGCACCCCAAACAUGGCAGCAACCCCUCACUUGAUUUUGCAUUCUAGGCCCCACAUAGCCCAGUUUUUUAAAAUCCUAAAUCCAGCUGUGUACUCAUACACUGUCUUCAAAACAGCCACUCUUGAACUUCCGGUUCUGGUGCUGAUGAACUCAGCAGCAGCAGCAUGAGCUCUGUGGCAGCCCCCGCCAGCUUGCCCGGCGCAGCUACCUCAGACCCUGUGGCAUGCUUUCCCCUGCUGAAUGGAUCGUUUUUGGCCGCCCCAGACCCUGCAAAACCGCUGCAUCAGUGCCUGCCAAUAUCGCGGGAGGACUUCAAUAUGGCCGCCGGGUCACUGCCACCAGCACAGACACGCCAGCAGCCGCAGCUUGUGAGUAAUGAUAGAGGCUCUGAUCUCCCCCAUUCACAGGAGACAGAUAUUACUACUGCAGCCCCUACAGCCCAGCCUUCACAUGUACAGAUGCAGGCAUUUGAAAGCCCUAUAACAUACUCCACUAUGGCGCAGGCUAUACAGGACACAAUUAGUCCCAUUAUGGAAUCCCAUGCUUCCAAAGUCACGCAGGUUGUUCAAGAUAUAAAGUCCCAAAUUAAACAGCUUUCCAAGAGGGUCCUGAUGAAUGAACACUGCUUUGGGGAAGUGUUUCAAGAUGUCACUGAUUUAAAGGCACAUGCUGCCACUUUACAAAAAGCACAUUUGCAGGUUUUAAACAAACUUGAUGACCUUGAGAAUCAUUUGAGGCAUAAUAACCUUCGGAUAAUGGGACUCCCUGAAUCCUUAAAGAGCCCUGCUCUUUUUACGUUUAUACAAUCUACCCUUCCUGACCUACUUGAUAUCCAAGAUGUAUGUGAAGGGAUGGUUGUGGAACGGGCACAUAGAAUCGGCCCCUUGCGAGAUACCUCAGCUAGCAGACCCCGUGCUUUUAUCUUUCGCUCACUCAAUUACAUUCACAAAGAUGCCAUUUGGUGGGUGUCCAGACGCAAGAGAGACUUACACUGGAACGGCAUCAAGCUUUACAUAUUUCAGGACUAUUCGGCUGAGGUGGUGAGAGCACGGAAAGAAUUUAACCCCAUCUGCUCCAGCCUAGCGAAAUCUGGAAUCAAAUUUGCCCUUAUGUACCCUGCUCGCCUACGUGUGUUUUCUGGGUCAUCCUUUAAAGAUUUCUCUACUCCCUCUGACGCUGAAUCAUAUUUGGCUGAAAGAGAUGAGAAACAAUCUUUGCAGAAGCUGUUUACCCAGGACGUUGUUCCUUGACAUCUUUGCUAGCACCCAUAGGGUCCUCAUAUAAAAUUGCUCUAAUGUCUACCGGACAUUAUAUCACUGUGUAUUAUUAUUGAUGGUAUUAAGUGUCUGAUCUUACUCCAUAUCCCAAAUUUGAUGGGGAUUGUUCCGUAUUGGGACUCCCUAUGUUUUUUUAGUUACCUAUUCAUAUGGUUACUGCGGCAAU